AGACCCGAAACCCGGUGAUCUAGCCAUGGGCAGGUUGAAGGUUGGGUAACACUAACUGGAGGACCGAACCGACUAAUGUUGAAAAAUUAGCGGAUGACCUGUGGCUGGGGGUGAAAGGCCAAUCAAACCGGGAGAUAGCUGGUUCUCCCCGAAAGCUAUUUAGGUAGCGCCUCGUGAAUUCAUCUCCGGGGGUAGAGCACUGUUUCGGCUAGGGGGCCAUCCCGGCUUACCAACCCGAUGCAAACUGCGAAUACCGGAGAAUGUUAUCACGGGAGACACACGGCGGGUGCUAACGUCCGUCGUGAAGAGGGAAACAACCCAGACCGCCAGCUAAGGUCCCAAAGUCAUGGUUAAGUGGGAAACGAUGUGGGAAGGCCCAGACAGCCAGGAUGUUGGCUUAGAAGCAGCCAUCAUUUAAAGAAAGCGUAAUAGCUCACUGGUCGAGUCGGCCUGCGCGGAAGAUGUAACGGGGCUAAACCAUGCACCGAAGCUGCGGCAGCGACGCUUAUGCGUUGUUGGGUAGGGGAGCGUUCUGUAAGCCUGUGAAGGUGUGUCGUGAGGCAUGCUGGAGGUAUCAGAAGUGCGAAUGCUGACAUAAGUAACGAUAAAGCGGGUGAAAAGCCCGCUCGCCGGAAGACCAAGGGUUCCUGUC
rnacentral:rRNA from 1 species